CCUACGGGUGGCAGCAGUGGGGAAUAUUGGACAAUGGGGGAAACCCUGAUCCAGCGAUGCCGCGUGAGUGAAGAAGGUCUUUGGAUUGUAAAGCUCUUUUAUGGGGGAAGAUAAUGACGGUACCCUAGGAAAAAGCUCCGGCUAACUUCGUGCCAGCAGCCGCGGUAAUACGAAGGGAGCUAGCGUUGUUCGGAAUAACUGGGCGUAAAGGGUGCGUAGGUGGUGAUAUAAGUCAGUUGUGAAAGGUCUGGGCUUAACCUGGGAUUGGCAAUUGAUACUGUAUUACUUGAGUAUGGAAGGGGAGAACGGAAUUGCGCAUGGAGAGGUGAAAUUCGUAGAUAUGCGUAGGAACACCGGUGGUGAAGACGGUUCUCUGGUACAAUACUGACACUGAGGCACGAAAGCGUGGGGAGCAAACAGGAUUAGAUACCCCUGUAGUCC
rnacentral:rRNA from 1 species